GGUUAAGUGAAUAAGGGCGUACGGUGAAUGCCUUGGCACUAGGAGCCGAUGAAGGACGGGACGAACACCGAUAUGCUUCGGGGAGCUGUAAGUAAGCUUUGAUCCGGAGAUUUCCGAAUGGGGGAACCUCAUUGUUUUUAUCGACAAUGGUCCACUCAGUGAACACAUAGCUGAGUGGAAGGUAGACGUGGUGAACUGAAACAUCUCAGUAGCCACAGGAAGAGAAAGAAAAAUCGAUUUCCCGAGUAGCGGCGAGCGAAACGGAAAGAGGCCAAACCAGCGUGCUUGCAUGCUGGGGUUGUAGGACUGAUGGACGGGAGUGAAUGAGCUAGUCGAACGCCAUGGAAAGGGCGAUCAGAGAGGGUGACAAUCCCGUAGGCGAAAGCUCAGCCACCUCAUUCAGUAUCCUGAGUACGGCGGUACACGUGAAAUUCCGUCGGAAUCCGCCAGGACCAUCUGGCAAGCCUAAAUACUCCCUAGUGACCGAUAGUGAACCAGUACCGUGAGGGAAAGGUGAAAAGCACCCCGGAAGGGGAGUGAAAGAGUACCUGAAACCGUAUGCCUACAAGCAGUCAGAGCCCGUUAAGGGGUGAUGGCGUACUUUUUGUAGAACGGACCGGCGAGUGACGAUAGCAAGCAAGGUUAAGCUGAAGAAGCGGAGCCACAGCGAAAGCGAGUCUGAAGAGGGCGUUGAGUUUGUUGUCGUCGACCCGAAACCAAGUGAUCUACUCAUGUCCAGGCUGAAGGUGUGGUAAAACACACUGGAGGGCCGAACCCACGUCUGUUGAAAAAGGCGGGGAUGAGGUGUGGGUAGCGGUGAAAUUCCAAUCGAACUUGGAGAUAGCUGGUUCUCUCCGAAAUAGCUUUAGGGCUAGCCUCGGAUGAUGACUAUUGGAGGUAGAGCACUGUUUGAUCGAGGGGUCCAUCCUGGAUUACCGACAUCUGAUAAACUCCGAAUGCCAAAUAGUUUAGUCCGGGAGUCAGACUGCGAGUGAUAAGAUCCGUAGUCGAAAGGGAAAGAGCCCAGACCACCAGCUAAGGUCCCAAAGUUUCAGUUAAGUGGAAAAGGAUGUGGGGUUGCUUAGACAACUAGGAUGUUGGCUUAGAAGCAGCCAUCAUUGAAAGAGUGCGUAAUAGCUCACUAGUCGAGUGACCCUGCGCCGAAAAUGUACCGGGGCUAAACUGAACACCGAAGCUGUGGAUCCGUAGGAUGGUAGGAGAGCGUUCUAUAGGCAGAGAAGCAUGAUCGUGAGGACAUGUGGAGCGUAUAGAAGUGAGAAUGCCGGUAUGAGUAGCGAAAGACGGGUGAGAAUCCCGUCCACCGAAUGACUAAGGUUUCCUGGGGAAGGCUCGUCCUCCCAGGGUUAGUCGGGACCUAAGCCGAGACCGAAAGGGAUAGGCGAUGGACAACAGGUUGAGAUUCCUGUACUUGUUUGAUUUGUUUGAGCGAUGGAAGGACACAGAAGGCUAAGCGGAGCGCGGAGAUGGAAAAACGCGUCCAAGCAAUAAGUGAGAAGGUGAGUGAAAGGCUUGCCUCAGACUUCAUGAGUUGUGACGGGGAGGGAAGUUUAGUACCGAAGCCGCCGACGUCACGCUGUCAAGAAAAGUUUCUAGUGAGAAUCAAACAACCCGUACCGCAAACCGACACAGGUAGUCGAGUGGAGAACACUAAGGUGAGCGAGCGAACUCUCGUUAAGGAACUCGGCAAAAUGACCCCGUAACUUCGGGAGAAGGGGUGCUGACCGCAAGGUCAGCCGCAGUGAAUAGGCCCAAGCGACUGUUUAUCAAAAACAUAGGUCUCUGCCAAAUCGAAAGAUGAUGUAUAGAGGCUGACGCCUGCCCGGUGCUGGAAGGUUAAGAGGAAGGGUUAGCGUAAGCGAAGCUCUGAAUUGAAGCCCCAGUAAACGGCGGCCGUAACUAUAACGGUCCUAAGGUAGCGAAAUUCCUUGUCAGGUAAGUUCUGACCCGCACGAAAGGCGUAACGAUUUGGGCACUGUCUCAACGAGAGGCUCGGUGAAAUUGUAGUACCAGUGAAGAUGCUGGUUACCCGCGACAGGACGGAAAGACCCCAUGGAGCUUUACUGUAGGUUGAUAUUGAAUGUUUGUGCCACAUGUACAGGAUAGGUAGGAGCCAUCGAAGUCGGGACGCUAGUCUCGAUGGAGGCACUGGUGGGAUACUACCCUUGUGGGAUGACCAUUCUAACCCGCGACCAUUAGCUGGUCGGGAGACAGUGUCAGUCAGGCAGUUUGACUGGGGCGGUCGCCUCCUAAAGUGUAACGGAGGCGCCCAAAGGUUCCCUCAGAAUGGUUGGAAAUCAUUCGCAGAGUGUAAAGGCAGAAGGGAGCUUGACUGCGAGACCUACAAGUCGAGCAGGGACGAAAGUCGGGCUUAGUGAUCCGGUGGUUCCGCAUGGAAGGGCCAUCGCUCAACGGAUAAAAGCUACCCUGGGGAUAACAGGCUUAUCUCCCCCAAGAGUUCACAUCGACGGGGAGGUUUGGCACCUCGAUGUCGGCUCAUCGCAUCCUGGGGCUGAAGUCGGUCCCAAGGGUUGGGCUGUUCGCCCAUUAAAGCGGUACGCGAGCUGGGUUCAGAACGUCGUGAGACAGUUCGGUCCCUAUCCGUCGCGGGCGUUGGAAAUUUGAGAGGAGCUGUCCUUAGUACGAGAGGACCGGGAUGGACACACCGCUGGUGUACCAGUUGUUCCACCAGGAGCAUGGCUGGGUAGCUAUGUGUGGACGGGAUAAGCGCUGAAAGCAUCUAAGCGUGAAGCCCCCCUCAAGAUGAGAUUUCCCAUACUUUUAAAGUAGUAAGACCCCUGAAAGACGAUCAGGUUGAUAGGUUUGGAGUGGAAGCUUAGCAAUAAGUGGAGCGGACAAAUACUAAUCGGUCGAGGACUUAUCCAA
rnacentral:rRNA from 1 species